rnacentral:tRNA from 1 species
AUCGCGAUAGCUCAGCUAUUAGAGCAUCUGCCCGGUAGGCAGAGGGUCGCCGGUUCGACUCCGGUCCGCGGUG